AUUGAACGCUGGCGGCAGGCCUAACACAUGCAAGUCGAGCGGAUGAAGGGAGCUUGCUCCUGGAUUCAGCGGCGGACGGGUGAGUAAUGCCUAGGAAUCUGCCUGGUAGUGGGGGAUAACGUCCGGAAACGGGCGCUAAUACCGCAUACGUCCUGAGGGAGAAAGUGGGGGAUCUUCGGACCUCACGCUAUCAGAUGAGCCUAGGUCGGAUUAGCUAGUUGGUGGGGUAAAGGCCUACCAAGGCGACGAUCCGUAACUGGUCUGAGAGGAUGAUCAGUCACACUGGAACUGAGACACGGUCCAGAAUCCUAAGGGAGGCAGCAGUGGGGAAUAUUGGACAAUGGGCGAAAGCCUGAUCCAGCCAUGCCGCGUGUGUGAAGAAGGUCUUCGGAUUGUAAAGCACUUUAAGUUGGGAGGAAGGGCAGUAAGUUAAUACCUUGCUGUUUUGACGGUACCAACAGAAUAAGCACCGGCUAACUUCGUG
rnacentral:rRNA from 1 species